rnacentral:rRNA from 1 species
GAUGAACGCUGACAGAAUGCUUAACACAUGCAAGUCUACUUGAUCUACUUCGGUAGUGAUGGUGGCGGACGGGUGAGUAACGCGUAAAGAAUCUGCCCUUUAGACUGGGAUAACGUUUGGAAACGAACGCUAAUACCGGAUAUUAUGGAGAUGUCGCAUGACAACUCUAUGAAAGCUAUAUGCGCUAGAGGAGGACUUUGCGUCCCAUUAGCUAGUUGGUGAGGUAACGGCUCACCAAGGCGACGAUGGGUAGCCGGCCUGAGAGGGGGAUCGGCCACAAGGGAACUAAGACACGGUCCUUACUCCUACGGGAGGCAGCAUAGGGGAAUAUUGGACAAUGGGCCACAAGCCUGAUCCAGCAAUUCUGUGUGCACGAUGAAGGUCUUCGGAUUGUAAAGUGCUUUCAGUAGGGAAGAAAAAAAUGACGGUACCUACAGAAGAAGCGACGGCUAAAUAUGUGCCAGCAGCCGCGGUAA